rnacentral:lncRNA from 1 species
CUCUGAGAUUGAGGCACAACCUGAUACUUUGGCAUCACCUGAGGACCCUCCUUUGGAACAAUCGGAGAGGAAGAAAAAGAAGAAAAAGAAGCAGAAAAAAUCUCCUGCUGCAGCUACUGUUGUCGAGGCUUUUGCUACUGCAAAAGAAACAACUUCGCAACCUGAAGCUUCUGCUACCCCUCAAUCCCAAGUAAGCCAUUCUUACUUCUUGU